AUAAGAACUACCAGCUGUUCCAGCCUAGGAUGCUAUUGAUGGCAUAAAGGAGUCAGCUACACAAGAUGUUUCCCUCAAAAGAAGGUUGUUUCCAAACCUAGCCCAGCAACUCCACGUAAUGAAACACCAGGGCGGGACUGUUUCGAAUGCCCUUUGUUUGGAGCUUUUACUACUAGCAAUAUGUAAAAAACAAACUGAUGAUCUUUAACAGAUUCUCUCAUGCACACCUGUAUGUUUUGCUUGAAGUGAACUGCAUGUCGGAGACUGAACUUCAGUCAGAUAAUUUGAAUCUGGAAGCAGUGGAGAACUGUGGGACACAAGCAUGGCAUUUUCUUAUUCCUACCACAAAAAAUAACUCAAGUUCAGUCCUCGCUCCUUAAGCACCAUCAGCUGCUCAUGUUGGACAGGAUGUAGGAAAGGAUAUACGCAAACUGAAGCCAACAUGAUUUGAACAGAGGGCAAGUAAGGUUGUUCAAGACUAGUAAUGCAGGCUGUCCUUCUCUGCAUGUGAUCUCAUCACAAACUCAAGGCAGCUCUCAGCAUGGUCUCACUUGCACUCAGGUCCCUAUCUUCAGCCAUACCUUAUGGGACUCCUGAAGAUCUUGAACGCUCAAGUACCACUAUGAACUUAACCAUAUGGAUGUGAGUCUCAAAACACUCAUGUGAAGAAGCUUCAGAAAGGAAUAACUGGAGGAACUACAGAGGGGUUCUUGCAAGUCUGAGGCAGAACCAUGCUAUGCAGAAUUGGUUACAGCUAAGAAUACCCAGGGGCUCAUCAAAACAGAGAGGACUGUAUCAAAAUCACAGCUGUAGGCUUGUCAUUUUAAUGCUCGUUAGGAACCAUGUGUGGCUGCUGGAAAAAGAGGGCAAUGGUGCUGCUAUUUAGGGUGGUCACUCUCCUGUACUUAAGGAAAAUGAGACAUGAAAUUCAGGCCACAGAUGUCCCGUUGUUCAACAACAACAAAAAACAGACUGUUGAGAAAACCUUAUUCUGUAGCUCCUCCACACGCAGUGUUUGUUGUAUAACUGCCAUGUUGCAGCAGCUAAGCAUCUGACUAAAAGUAAAAGUUACGCUGUGCUUUCUACAAACAGUUAUUACAAAAGCUACCUCCACAGCAAGCAGCAUGAAUGCAGCUUAUGCUCAGUGCAUCAAACACCACCCCACACAGCUUCUGAGGGUUAGCUGAAGGCAAAAGAGCCUCAGAGGCUUUUAGUGAGAUCACAUCUUAUGGCCAUUAAGUGAAUGGAUCCUGUACAGGUUCCAUAGCAUUUCUCAGUAAUGCAAGUUAAUCAUUUCAGAAUACUUCCAAGAGCUGAAGUUAUCCAAAUAAAGGCUUGUGAACUAUCCAAUGGGCACUCAAAAGCAAAUUCAUCCUUGAUGUAAACUCAUGAAUGUACGCUGGGAUUCAAUUUGGUUAAAAAAAAAAAAAAAGCUUCCUCUUCUGAAAGGGUCACUUGUAGAUCGGCUGCUGGUCUGCUCGGUUCUGAGCAGUAGCUAUCACAUUCCUAAACUGCACAUGGAACUGUAAGCACAUGGAUGUUCAUUUGAAUACGGUAGGAUGUGAUCCUGCCUAAAAGAGAAGUCCAUGGCUGGAUCAAGGCGUUGAUGUCCCACGCAGAACAUGAGAUUCAGCUUCCUUCCACAACAGUUCUGUACUAUCUGGCAGCUGUUAUAGGCUCUGUCCUUUAGAGGAUCCUCUACGUACUCCGCUGUUCUUAUCACACCCUGUUCACUGGCUCACUUACAGCUAAUGGCACAGCAAUGGUACAACACUGGAAGUGUUUAGCUCCUGAACCAGCUAACUGGCAUUUGGGUUUUCAUCUGAAGUUCUACGUUGUCUGAUUUGUCACCUAUCUCCACCCCUUGAGCUAUUUUGGAGGUUUACAGCCACAGUUUUGUGUUCAAGGAAAGUUCAAUCUGUUUCCGGUACAAAUUAGCAUGUAUGUAAAUGUCUCAAAACAGUUGUAGAAAUCCCUGCCAUUUUACCAGCUUCUCAAGGUGGGACUGCUUUUCACCUCAUCAACUUCCAUCUGCGCAACCUGUCUGUUAAUCAGUACUUAAAAGCCCCAUCAAUCCACACAGGUGGCCAGGAUUUCUGUGUGUUUCCCAUUAGAAGAUUCCUGAAGGCUGAUAUAAACUGCACUGCCUCCUUUAUAAGUAAGUGGUUUAGCAUUUGAUUCAAUUAGAAAUGUUUUACAGAAAUGGUGUCAGUUUCUGACCUGCAGGUGUCUGAAUUAAAAAGAGAAUUGUGUUUUGUUAGAAUUAUUUAAGCUGCAGAAACAAUACAGCUAUGCAGAUAAUUACAUUAGCAUAGAAAAGGCACGUGUCCUUGCAAUAAAUUAGAAGAAGACAGCCAAAUAACUGGAUAAAAUAAGUCUCACCGCUGCUUAUAUGCUUUGCAGACUCCACCUCUGUUUAUAAAUUUUGUCUUGUCACAGGUCUUGACCCUGCUUUAUGCAAACAUUUAUUCCCAUAGAAAGUCUGCCUCCUGCAUCUUCCACUAUCUCUUUAACUUGUCACACACUGGGACCACGUCUGCUUUGACUCACUUUUCAUCCUUCAUCCUUGCUGCCGCCUCUAAAAGUUCUGGGAAUUUGAACUGUACAGCUCCUGCAGCUCUGUAAGUAUUUUGCCUACCACAUCCUUGGAACAUACUGCGGAACAGAGCCGUACCAUGCGGUACAGUGCUACGCGCAGGCUAAAACAAUGACUCUCCCUUCCAGUACUUUAAUGAAUUUCACGUUCCAAGAAAUUGUGAAAACAAUGCACUAGUAACGAGCCAUGAGCAACCCAACUGUACAUCGACAAUUAACAAAAUAUGCUAAGUGUCAAUUCAUUUCACAGCAUCAUUCGAUUUUGCUUAGCCCCAGCAUGCAGUUCAAAAGUUUUUGGCAGCAAGCAGCACCAUAAAUCAUAACUCUCAUGGCAUCUGUUCCUCCCCAGAACUGUAGAUGGAGUUCGGGAUUUGGGGUAGGUCAUCAGCACAGCUGGAGUCUUUAUUGAACCACCACAUCGAUUUUCAAGUCUAGAAACCAGAAAAUGAUAUGUGGAUGUGUAAAGUAUCUGCUUCCUGGUUCGAAGAUGAGUGUAGGCACGAAGUGCUGGAGGAAGAGUUUUUUGACAAUUUUGAUCACACGUGGCAGAUGAAUAAUUUUGAACAAAGGAUUUCCAGAGACAGUUCCAUUAACUCUGCGUACGGUAGUAAAACAAAUGCAUCUAACUUGCUUCUCCAGAACCAAGUUCUGAACAGGAAAAAUGCUUACCUUUUAAGAACAAUCUCAUUUGCUAUAUUUGCAUUUGACAAGCCAUGAGAAAGAUAUGCUGACAGUGCAAGAUAAUCACUUUCACAGUCAGCAUGCAAAAAUAUAUUUGCAGCAGUAUGAGCUCCUGCUUGUUGCACUCUGAGCCUGCAGCCUGGAGCACUGCCUGUUGAUAUUCUGCCAGCCAGUCAUGUGUACGCUCACUGCAAAAUGUGUGCUGCACAAUUCAGAAACAUGGCAAAAGAGUGCUAAAAAAGCUUUGAAUGCUAGUUUACCAGCAAACUCCAAAUACUGGCUUUUCUAUAGAUUUACACCCCUUCACUUUCCUUUCUUUCUGACAGAGAGUUCAUCAUUUUCUUUAACAAUGCCAUAAACACAACAUAGUAAGCAAACAAGAACUAAUUGUGAGGAAAGCAGAUUUAGGUCCACGGCAAACUACAAAUAGAACUGAAACAGGAGAAGCCAUGUUCGCGGUUUGACACAGAGACAACUGUGCCUUUCCUCAUACAACGUACCAAGUACCUCUCUCAGUUAUAUAUGACUCCUGCAUCAGGAAGAGCUGCACCUCCUUCACUUCCCCCUUUGACCAAGUUGUAGUGGUACACAUAUGGUACUAGUCAGCCACUCACAACCCUGUAAUUGUUGCUGAAGAACAUCGGUAAUUAUUUUAAAUGUACUGAAAGGGAAAGAAUAGGUGAGGAAAGAAGAUGCUACACACGACAGCUAACUUGCAAACAGCAUCUGUGAGGGGCCCUGACAGCAAAAUAGCACUUAAAAGUAACUUUAGCAUGACUCGGAUGGAUCUGUGCAUGAAGGCAAAGCUUUCUGAUUAUCAGCUGCAACACUAAAGUUGUGUUGGCUGUUUGCUGAUUAGGGACUGCCCAUACCUUUUGUCUCCCACUAAUUGCUAAUCAGGGAGUGCCAUACACCUGUACAGCUAGCUGGUGCUUGGAGAGCAGCUACAUAGGUGGUAGGCAGGAACAAAGCUGCUGGAGUGCAAAGGUUGUUAAGAGGUAGGUACCAGUUUUUGUAGCAGUGUACAUAAAAGAGGUGUAGAAAGACUGGGUUAGAGCUGUGUGAAACUGACUGAGGCUGUGGAACAAAGCGCCUGAGUUAGUUCCUUCUCGGGUAAGUUAAUACCUUCUUGAGCUUUGUCCCAGCUUGGAGCUGUAAAAAAAGCUUAGAAGAAUUUGUAAUGAAAACAGUGUUGUACUAUUGUUUGGUUUAGUCAUUUCCAGCUAGGUUGGGUGAAGGGCCUGUCUGGCUAGACCGAGUCAAGAAGAACCAAUUGUAGUAGAGGUCACAGAAGUGGUUGGUUUAAUUCCUAAUAUGACUUUGCUUUGUUUGUUCUGAUUGGUUGCAUAAGGACUGGGCUUAACCCAUGUUUCCGUGUGUUUUUAUUUUUAUAUGAGUCAUUUAAAAGUUCUAUUGGAAACUCUUUUUUUUCCUCCUAUAACUGAAAACUUUUUUUCCACUAUUGCUGAGGCAGUGAAAAUAAAGUGAAAGUUAAGCAGGAGGUAUUUCAGUGGAGCAGUGGGCUAACUUGCUAUUUUUCUUCUAGAGACUGAAGUGCUGACUGUUCAUAGAGCAGUCGUUUUCCUACUGAGCUGAGUGUUGCAGUGUACAGAAGUGAACAUGUGAAAUCAGGGUGGUAAGAACUUAGGUCUUAUACAUUUGGGUAUUGCUAAAGAUUUCUCUCUCUCUCUCUCUCUUACAAGUUGUUGGUUUCUUCAGCUGAGUAAGAGUUUUCCCCCCUUUAUAUUGUGGUACAGUUAUGCUUUAAGGUUAAAGGCCUGAAGUAGGUCACAAGACCAAAUGAAAAUAAGUAUAGCCUUUGAUUUCACCAAUUACACCUGAGUAGUCUUAAUCGCAUUUAAAAUAUGUGAGUCAGAAACACUCUCCGGAGUCUCUUUAACAAGACUACUCUCUAGACAGGCUGAUUUCUCCAUGCAGCAGCUAAUGGUUAAACUUCUGGAAGUAAAUUGCAUGUUUCCGAAGUUAAAUCUUGAAGUGUUUCAGAUAGUGUUACAAGGUCUGUGUCUUCAUGAUCUUAAUUUAAUUAAUUAAAAAAAGAGGAAAACAGGACACAUGGGAUCCAUAUGCAAAGUGAAAUUCCAUACCAAAUCUACAGGAUGUUACCGCAUCACGUGUCAUUACGGUGUUAAAGCAAGCCACAUCUUUCCCUGCACGUAACCACACCCCUGUGCAAAUUCCUGAGGAAAGCCAUGAGGCACUAGAUGGAAGGCAAUCUAGUCAACAUCACUUGAAAUGAAGCAAAUGCUUUCAUAGGAAACACCAUUUUGAUGCUUCUCUCCAAUGAAGUGAUGGCGAAGCAACUGCAGCAGUGCUGUACGCAAUGGGGACCUACUUCUGUCUGCUGCCAAACAUCUGUGCUCUUAACUUGGACUCGCUGCCAAUUUCAGCCUACUUCCUGACGGUGCUUGGCACUGCUGCAGACAAAGUGCAACAGGAAAGGACGUGGGGGAAGGAUUGCUAUCCUGUCCCCCACUGAAAUGAAAAAAAAAUAUUCCUGAGACAUAUGGUCGUGCAUAAAAUAACCAUCAGAGAGAGCAGCCUGGUGCGGUGUCAGGUUAGUGAGAAUAUUCUAAUUAUACAAUGUCUAAGCAGUGCCUCAUUUGCAGUCGCUGAGUAAACCAAAUGUAGAUGACAAAACUGCAGGUCGGAAGCGAUGCGUAUUUUAACAGCAUCAGAACCUUUACCCCCAAAUUACUAAAAACAACCCCAAGCCCAUUACUUAUCAAGUAAUGUAAAUAAGAAUUGAGACAAACUGUUAUUUUCCAUAACAGGAAAGAAGUUGUUUAGGCUCUUUUUUUUUUUUUUUAAAAAAAAAAAAAAAGGAAAAUCUGUCUCAAAAACUUAUUGCUAAGGAAACACUAGAUUUUGGUUGGAGUUGUGCUUCAUUUUCAGCAAGUUUUACAGUGCCCCUUAUGUAACAGAACUGAUAGCCAUGCAGGAGAGCUGACAAGUCUCAUCCGAAUCACAAGGCAUGCUUGUGCUCACGAAAAGCGGAGCCGUGUCAGUUAGGUUGCUGGCUUCUCCAGCUCUCUGUUCUCCAGGAGAACAUUAUAGGGUUGGUAAUAUGUCAGAGCAUGUCAAAUUAAGGGCUGCACAGCAGUGAAGGGUAGAGCAGAAAGCGUUCAAUUCCAGGCCAUUGAGCCCCUUUAACAACUACAUGCAGUAAUUCCCCAAACUAUCUACUCAGUCUCAAUCACAUGGAAAACAGCACAACGUUAGCUCUCAAGCUUGCACCGAGUGCAGCUUGAAUAUUAGACCAUCCAAGUGGAUUAAAGAGGAUGACUGAUUUAAUCAGAGUAAUUCUUUUAAUGAUAACUUGUUGCAUUUCUCCUCCCCCCCAUCUCCUUAAACAUUUAAUAGUUGGCUUCCUGGAUUCCCGGUGCAUAAACUGAGCAUAUUUUCUUCCUACAGGAAAUGAUCCAAUUACGUCGAUGUAUAAUUGAUAAUGAGCUGUUUAAGCUGAUGUUGCUCUUGAAAGGUCUUCACGGCACGAAGUCCCUUUGCUGGCCCUUCUCCCCUCAUGCAUAGCUCAAUGGUGUAAUGUAAGGAAAAAAGCCGGGAGGGGAGCGUUGGUGUGUUCGAAGCAAGGUAAACAAGGGAGGAAUUUCAGCUCUAGUCUGCUGAGCCAGCUUGGAGCAAAAGUAUUGACUACUUCAAAAUAAUUUAGUUCCUUAUUACUAUUCAAUAAUCAAUUUGCUUGCAGUUUUGGCCAGUGAGAGGGGAGCAGUUCAGACAGAAAUGGCUCAGUAAAUGCUGGUAUUACUAGCUCAGUUUAAGAACUGAGGACCAGUAGUAACUCAGGACCACCCCAGCACAAAAGCCAGCACAGAGCAAGGAAGUCCUACUGGUAGCAUACUUAGUGCAGAAGGUUUCAGAGGCUGAUGAAGCGAGGCUGGAGCAUGUUUUUGUAAACUAAUUGCAAUGGGGUUUACAAACCUAACAGCUCAAAAUCAUUCUUAAGGUGAAAGAGCUGCUGCCUACUCUCAGUAUAGUUGGCUGCCACUUGUUAGACUUUUGCUCUCUUCUCUCCACUGGCUCCAACUCACCCUGUGAUGUGUGUCGCUUACCCCCCCAGUGCCUCUGUCUCCCUGUUGAUUUUGGGAUAGGCUGUGAGGUGUGCAAGGACAGGCCGGCUUCUCACAAAAUCUCAUCAAAAGCCGGUGUGAUCCCUUUUGCUGCUGAAAUGUUGAGGUACGAGUGCAGUAACAACACCUGUCACAGCAUUCAGUAUCUUAAGUGACUAGUCAGGUGUUCAGAGCUGUUGUCUGCCACUGCUGCACGCCCUUUAUAUAGGGGUCCACUUCGGCCCUACUAGCCUAGCUGUACACAGUCUGCACAACCUAAUGGCAGGAAUGCAUUGUCAGGCAGAGAGAUGGGCACAGGAACCAUCCAACUGACACAAAUCCCCCAGGUAUUCAGUAACUAUCAUUCACUAUUCCAGAGGGCUUUUACUGUCUGUUCUUUACAAUCAGAGCAGCCUUCCCUCUAUUAUCAACAAGACUUUUACUGGAAAGAAUUUUUACAAUUAGGCAGUAAGAUUUUUUAUAGCGCUGUCUUCUCAUACCACUUGAGCAGGAGUCUGCCACUGGGUAUGUUAAGAAUACGUUUAUUUUAAAGGACCCUGGGUACAUUACAGCCUUUGUUCAAGUUUUGUGUUCCUAGUAUGCUCCUUUUAUGGUUCAAAGUAACCCUGUUUUGGUGUUGGAGUUGACAUACCACAGACACUGAGAUUUCCUCUCUCCCAGGAGAGGUGGGUACAUGAAUAACCUGAGGAAUCUUCACCACAUGGGAUAAGGUGCCAGGCAGCAAGCGGUGCUACUAAUUUCAGUGCCAGCAUUUCCACGAAGAACAUUUGGUAUAAGCACUACUGAUAGAUGUAUUACUCUGUUCUUCCAAGAAUCUUUCCUUCCUGUUGUCCUGUCUCUUCAUCCAUCAGUUACAUGGCUAACUGACCUUCUUCCUAUUUCUGUCAAUACCCUUCCAGUGAAGGGAUUUAUAGAGCUGAAGGCAGUAGACAAGGUACAGCUGUAAGUGGGUUGUCCAGACAAUGAGUACCUUGCUCCAUGGUGUCUCCCCACACCUAUGCUCAAGUUCAAGACCUAACGAGUCUUUCAUUUGGUUACAAUAUUAACUGCGAAUUUCCAAUUGUUUUUUUGAUCAAGUUACAACUUUGUGUUAAGGACUAGAUUUUUUUUUUCUGUGAUAGGCUUUGCCAACUUAGAACCAAUUUAGCUUCAAAUGUGCAGUAAAAAUUCUUCUAGCUAAUGCAACUGCUCAGCUCAUAUGCCUUGAUUGUUUUUUUUUUUCCACUGUGUUUAAGGGUGGUUGUACCUAAAAAUGCCCAAUUCAAAACUGAGCACCCACAAAAAGAGAUGAACACUUGUAUUUCUAAUCCCGUUCAGGUAGAAUUCUCAAUAAAUUUUUGUAACAAUGCAAGGUAAAACAAUUCUAGACAGAAAUGUUUUUUAAACUAUUUCCUCUCAAGUUCUCCAUGUGUCAAGAUCCUGUAGUCUUACUAACUAGUUCUUAGGGAUUUCUGAAGUACAAAAUAUAUUUUAACUUCCAGCAUUAAGUGCUGCCAACUCACUUUAAUACAAAAAUGUUUUGAAGUCUACUUCUAACUGCCACAUACUGUAAUAAUGUUACUGAAGCGAGCUCCAUUAAUUUACCUUCUUACAGGCCUUGUCCAGCUCUGCCUGCAGAGACAACCAGACAACUUUCACAAAUCGGUAGGACUUGUGUUUGCGUAAGGGGAAGAGGAAGCAGAGAUCAUUAUCUCUUCUUGCUUUUCAGAAUGUGGCACACAAAAGCAAUUCUGACUUGCCUAGUUGUGUGAACCACAAGCACGGAAACAGGCAAAAUAUGAAAAUAUUGCAGGAACAAUUGGAAAUCAAAUGUCAUGCUGAUUGACAGUGGAGUUCUAUGGGGGUAUUGCAGUCAGGAACUUCAGCCUGAUUUAAAAAAAAAAAUAAAAUGGGGUAACAAUCUUCCAAAGACAAGCCUGCCAGCAGGUAUAACGUGCACAACAGAAGCAGGGAAGGCUGACUGUACCACAUACUGCCCCUGCAUUCAAAUACGCAGCCAAAUACAGAUGGGUUAGGGCAGAGAAGCAGACAGGGUGCUCGAAAACACGUGGAGCUUUCCAGCAAGGGAGCAGAGACCUUUUUGUCCACUGUAAAGCUCCAUGUGUUUGAUUCAAAUGGCAGCAGCAUCCUGGCUCCCAGAUCCUUAAUUUAAUCACUUGUUCUCACUGUUCCUAUAACUUUCAUUUCAUAAAUGAUGAAAUAGUUCAAAUAAGUGUUCAUAACUGCAAAAUUUCCUGCUUCUGUGAAUAAAGGCAUCUUUUGCUCAUGUCCUUGACAGAGUCCAAUACUGUUCCUGCGUUACAGAGAAGUUAACCUGAUGCCUGAUACGUUUCACAAAUUUUUCUAGGCUGCCAGCCCCACAAUUCCCAGUCGCCUUGUGGAAACUGAUCCUUCAGAGAAAUUUGGAGUGUCUGAGCUAUUUAAUGAGGACAAAGUCUCCACAGCAUUUCUCUCAAUAAAGGUUCUGGUUCAGGACUAUACAUGGCGAGAUGCAAUUGAGGCACCCUUGAGUUAGCUUGCUUACAGACUGGGUCCUGACCCUGCUAAUCUCCUCCCAAAGCUGCUCAGUACCCGUGUGCCUGAUAGCUGUAAAGCCAAGUGCAUCCUCACCAGCCUCCCCCGAAGCCAUUUAGGAAGGUGGUAGUUUGAUUAUGACAGACUGACUCAGUCCUAACAAUGAAAAUGGUAACUUCCUGAACGGUUCUUCAAAUAUAAAUUAAACAAACAAACAAAAAGCUUAACCUAAAUAAUAUAGGGGAGGAGAAGGGGAAAAAGAAGUUUUAUUGUCUUAUAUAGUACUGAACUGUCACAUGCUGAUAUAAAUUGCGCAGUCUGAAACCCUUUCAGUUCACACUGCUAUGGGUUGCUCAUGAGGCCAUACUCCAUGUAAUUAUCAGCCAAACUGCAUCAGUAAACUGCUCCUAAUAGCAUAAUAACUUGCCUUCAGCGUUUUUCUUUUAAGCUCUAGACUUCUACUCAGAUUUAUUUACUCUGACAAUGCUGUUCAGUUACUACUUGAUAAAGUUAGAUACUAGCAAUGCCAGAAGAGCUGGAAACUUCAAAAAACAGACUUAAAGAAGUCUGUGAGGAGUUUUUAAUCAUUUGUCAGUAUUACUUGAAAGAAACGCAACACAAUGUGGAGGUGCUUAAAUCCUCAAAACUUCACUGGCCUUUUUGUCAGAAGUAAGGUCAAAACACAAUACACAAGCUUUCAAGAUAUGAGCUAGGUUUUCUCUAAAUGCUAAUCUCCAGCUGUCUUAAACAUUAAUCCAUGGUCAUCAUUAAACAUAUUUUGUGCAUCUGUCCAAAGAAAAUAAAUUGUAAUAAUUUCUUAGACUGCAAGCAACUGCAGAAGCAAAGCAGGUUGUAGUAGAUCCUGUAAGAUAAAGUUUGUCACCUUUUUUCCACCAGCGAAUGAACUGUUCAGCAUUCUGUCAAUUUACCAGAAGUAUAAAAAUCAGAGCAGCCAAAAAUUUUGCAGCUGAGAGUCCAGUAAAGACAAAUGUAGUAGAAGCUCCUCCUACAAUUCCUACUGAAUGUUUUUUUUUGUUGUAGUUUUGCUUGAGCAAUUGCUGGGUCACUGCUAUUUCUGUAAACAGUACUUUUUUUUUUAACAAGAAAUGUUCAAUAACAACGUUAACGGAGGAUUCAGAACUGCACCUUUGAUGCUGCACUUCAAGCAAUACUUCUGCAUGUUUGUGACUUGGGUAUUUCCUCUUUAUCUCUUUUGAAAUUAUACUUCCCUUUUAUGACAGCAUGUCUCUUUCAGCCUGUGUUCUUUAGCUAACUUGCAAAUUGAAAUGGAUUUAUAAUUGUAAAUAAUAAGGAAAACUGUGACUAUUUCAUAUUUGAUUAGAUCUUGCUUAUCGAUUUUAUAAUGCAAUGAGAAUGAAUUGUCACAAUCAGUCAAAACCCUUUCAAUGGAAAUCGAGUUAUAACUACAGCAUACUAAACAAUCAUGGUAAUGCAGCCACCAUGUGCAUUAAAAAAACGGGGAAGAAAAACUAUAGGUACUUCCCUCCACACACUGUGGUAAAAACAAGGAUGCUGGCAAUGUGUCAUACUCCAGCUGCUUCCAACAAAUACACUUAAAGUGCUUUACUAGAGAAGAGAAAAGGAGAGUCUUAAAUGUCAUGACAGGAGAAUGAAACUCUAGUUAGACUCUGUGCUUUUCAGGAAGCUGGAAACAAUAUUCAAGCCCCUAAAAGCUCUCAGAAGGUAUCACAGCACCAACACUGUUUUUGUGUGAUCACUUAUCCAAACAAAUGAGACUGAUGAAGCAAAGACUGUAGCAAGUUGAUAUAUUUCCUAUUGGAGAAGUUUUCUCAUGCUCCUUUGUUAUCAAUUACAACAUUUUCUAUAGACCCAGAAAGCCACAAUAUAGUCUUUUUAAGGACAGAAAUAAGCAGCAAGCUGAAUGUUGAAACAUCUGUUACAGCUACAAUCUGCUAAACAAUUCCAGAGUUAAGUCAGUGUAAAGAGCAGGCUAUGUUUAAGCUAUAGAACAGUUUCCUUUAAGUUUGCUGUUUCUGCACAGUCCCUGUCCUAAACUAUUCCCUUAAAAACAAGGUGCUGCAAUUAGGUGCAUCUUUUCUUGCUCUACAGCCAUGAUAUGCAUACAUCUGCUACUUUUACACUUGGGAUUUUCAUGACUGCCAGAAGAAGGUGGACUGAGACUUGUGCAAAAGCCAUCUGCCAAACUGACUCUGUCCACAAAAAAAGGACAGUGCUUGAAAGCUCCUGGGAGGAACGAGACAAAUAGUCUGAGACUGCCCAGAACCACACUGAUGAAAAAUAAGGGAAAAUGGGACAGUGUGCAGGAUGUGCUAACCUUCUGUAUAUUUUAAUUAUAGAAUUCUCAAGCUGAGCUCUUCAGAAACCUCAAGAAAUUGUACUCCUGUUGCCUUCUCAAAGAGCAAGAAGAGUGGAGAAAUCCAACUCAUUGAAGGGUCCAACCUGCAGAUAAGUCUUUCUCUGGUGGCUUCAAAUGUUGCAUUGCUUUGCACUAGCAGAAGAACUGAUUUGUGCUCUCCAUUGAGAUGUUCACAAAGUUAAAUCCAUCUCUACACCGAGGCCACGUGACUGACCACCACUUAAAGCCCACCUGUCUCUUAGUAAGAUUAAGAGGAGUUAACUCCAACUAUCAGUGGAAAAAUACAUCUCUUAAGAACUGAUGUUCUGGAAGGCCAAGACAGUAACUUUCCUACGCACUUGGACUCCGGGAUGAUGGAGGAGGGCAGGAACAGAGCUAUUACUGAAACACGCAUGCAACAGACGAGCCAAACUGGUGAGCAGAUGCACACAGGUCACACAGCUGUGAAUUAAUUCUUCAGGUGAAAACUUUAGCUGCGGACCGAAGCAACCUGCUACCGAAUGGUUCCUUAUGGUUCUGCCCACACCUGUUCUCUUCAAUUUAAGAAAGGGCAGGGUCGACUCUGUACCCUGUUUAAAAGUGUACUGAGGCCUGAAGGGGGCACAAAGGCCAUAUCAGCCCUCAGAGGGCACAGUAUGAACUGCUCAGGCUCCCACAAGAGCUAAACGAUGGAUGGUCCUGUUGUGAAGGCUUAAUGCCAUGUAAGGUUGAGCGUGCAGCAGCCAGACACCAGGUCAGAUGCACUUAGGUUAGGUUGUCUGUCUCUGCACUGUUAACACUCCUUCAGUGUGUAAGGUCAGCACAGUAACUUACCAACUAAAUUAUUUUAGAUAAUUCAGCCAGACCACUACACAACAACUGUUGCAGAGGGCAUUCUAAUUUGGCUGCAAAAGAUGGUGAAUGGAAGGAUUUACACCAGACAAGCACCACUCAUUUAGUGGGGACAAAUGUAUUUUUCAGUUCUUGUUGAAAAAGAAGUGGUGCUACAGUGUCCCCAGGCUCUCUUCUUUUUCUUAUAAACUUUACAAAAUAACUUUCAGAAGCUCAUGUGAGCCAUUUGUUUAACAUAAAACUUGCUUUACAGGUGAUGGAUGUAGGCACUGUAUUAAAUUAUGCAAGCCUAUUUGUAUCCCCUUAUUAUUAGCACGCCAAGAUUAUAAGUGCUUGCUGAAUUUCUUUUUCCAGAGCAAAAACUGCCACAUCUGUCUCUGUAUUUUUGGAGGUUUUCUUUGUGUCACUCUUUUUUUUUUUAAAGCAGGAUGCUACAUCCCAGUCACCCUCAGCUGUUUGUACAGUUAGCCACUGUUUACAACAGCCAUUUCUGCAGCACCACUACUUGCCAGACAGUACUGCGAGCCAGUUAAACAUAAAGUUGAUUACAUGUACUUAUGACACAUACACCGUUACCAAGGCACAAACUUCCUGUAUAUUUUUCUGAGCUUGAAAGAUACUUCCCCAUUUUUCACCUGCACCACACAUUUACAUACACACAGAGGUGUAAUCAGAUUGCCAUCUUUAUCUAGAUCUCUAAAAGCAGUAUACAUGAAAUGCUGUAUGAGGAGUAUCUUCCUGUGGUUCUGUGAAAAAUAUGUAUGAGAAGCAUUUCCCUGUGGUUCAGGGAAAAAUAAGAGCGGAAAAAGAGGAAUUCACCCCUAAAAGUACUUUGAGAGACUUAAGUGUUUAAAGAUGCUUACUAUUGCCUUUUUACUGAGUUCCAAACAUGAGAAAAUUAAGGGAAAGUUUCCAAUAUUUUCUCGCAAUCAGGGCAUUAGAAGCCAAACUCUUAACAUGUUUGUGAGAGGGAUUUACCGAGCUUACAAAAACGUGGGCUUUCUCAAGCUAUCCCAGAAUUAGAGAUACAGCAAGGAACA